GCGAAUUCCCGAAGGCUUGCAGGAGCCGCCCGGCUCUGCCUCCAGCCUUUCUCUCUGGGCCUAGCGGGACUCUCCCAGGCAGGCCCCUCCCUGCCCGCGGGCGCACUUUCCCCGCCUGCAUCUGAGGCGUGGCGCAGCUGGGAGCAAAGCACAGCUGUGCACAAAGUAGAACUUUCAGGCCAGUAACUGGACCAUGGGUUCCAAGAAUUGCCAGCUGAGAAGCAUUGUCCUGGUGCAACAUCCAUGACCUGUCAGUGCCACUCCAACACAGAAAAGUAAACUAAGAAGCUCCCAAGCUCUUUUUGCUUUCUUUUUGCCCAUUUUGCUAUGGAAUCUGAAAGAGAAGUUCAACUUGAGG
rnacentral:lncRNA from 1 species